rnacentral:rRNA from 1 species
CAGUCGCCGCGGUAAUACAGAGGGUGCAAGCGUUAAUCGGAAUUACUGGGCGUAAAGCGCGCGUAGGUGGUUUGUUAAGUUGGAUGUGAAAUCCCCGGGCUCAACCUGGGAACUGCAUUCAAAACUGACUGACUAGAGUAUGGUAGAGGGUGGUGGAAUUUCCUGUGUAGCGGUGAAAUGCGUAGAUAUAGGAAGGAACACCAGUGGCGAAGGCGACCACCUGGACUAAUACUGACACUGAGGUGCGAAAGCGUGGGGAGCAAACAGGAUUAGAUACCCCCGUAGUCCCUGUCUCUUAUAA